rnacentral:rRNA from 1 species
UAGAGGAAGUAAAAGUCGUAACAAGGUCUCCGUUGGUGAACCAGCGGAGGGAUCAUUACUGAGUUUACGCUCUAUAACCCUUUGUGAACAUACCUAUAACUGUUGCUUCGGCGGGUAGGGUCUCCGUGACCCUCCCGGCCUCCCGCCCCCGGGCGGGUCGGCGCCCGCCGGAGGAUAACCAAACUCUGAUUUAACGACGUUUCUUCUGAGUGGUACAAGCAAAUAAUCAAAACUUUUAACAACGGAUCUCUUGGUUCUGGCAUCGAUGAAGAACGCAGCGAAAUGCGAUAAGUAAUGUGAAUUGCAGAAUUCAGUGAAUCAUCGAAUCUUUGAACGCACAUUGCGCCCGCCAGCAUUCUGGCGGGCAUGCCUGUUCGAGCGUCAUUUCAACCCUCAAGCUCUGCUUGGUGUUGGGGCCCUACAGCUGAUGUAGGCCCUCAAAGGUAGUGGCGGACCCUCCCGGAGCCUCCUUUGCGUAGUAACUUUACGUCUCGCACUGGGAUCCGGAGGGACUCUUGCCGUAAAACCCCCAAUUUUCCAAAGGUUGACCUCGGAUCAGGUAGGAAUACCCGCUGAACUUAAGCAUAUCA